CAACCCCACCAUUGAUAACGUCAAUAUUAAGCGACUACGGGCAAGAACCCCUCUCCCGAAGCGUUAUUGUCGCGCCUCGAAGGACUAUCAAAUAGAGCGAUUUUGGAGACGAUUUGUGGUUCUGGUGGUAAAUAACCAUGGCGGUACGGGUGCUCCGGUUGGUCCUCCCCUCAGGGACAGCCGUGUUCAAAAUAGGGACAACUAUUCGGACGGCUGGUAUUCACACAAGCUCAGUAAGGAACCUGCGGUACGGUUGGUGGACAUAUGCACUGGGCGAGAGGACAACUCCAAGGUUCAAGGAGAACAGCAAGAUCAUCUCCAUUGAUGGCAACCUGGCCUCCGGAAAGGGGGCGCUGGCCCAGAAUCUGGCUGAGAAGAUGGGGAUGCUGUACAUGCCUGAGCCUGACACGCACUACUUGGACAAGAUGACAGCGGAGAAGGCGCCUCUGCCAACCGCCUUUAAUGGUAACUGCAGCCUGGAGAAGUUCUACGGAGACCCUAAGGCUGCUGACGGGAACUCCUACCGGCUGCAGGCAUGGAUGUACCUCAUGAGGCUCCUGCAGUGGUCAGACGCCAUGGAGCAUCUGCUCACCACAGGCCAAGGUGUGGUCUUAGAGCGCUCCCCCUACAGUGACAUGGUGUUUGUGGAGGCCAUGUUCAAACAGGGUUACAUCAGAAAGCAGUGUGUUGACCACUACAAUGAAAUCAAAGGUAUCAGCAUCUGUGAGUUCCUUCCCCCCCACUUGGUCAUCUAUGUGGACAUGCCAGCAGAAGAAGUGCAGAAGAAGCUGAAGGCAUCAGGCAAGGAUGUGCCCCUACCCUAUCUGAAGAGCAUUGAGGACGCAUACAAGAAGACCUACCUUCCCAAAAUAAGUGAGAAUGCAGAAUUGCUUGCUUAUGAUGCAACGCAGGCACAAGACAUCGAGAGGAUUGCAGAAGACAUUGAGGACUUGAAGUUUGAGAAAGGACCUUGGGUAGAACAGGAUGAUGUCACAUUACACUACAUGAGAAUGCUGGUGGAAAACAAGAUGAGGGUGGCAGACCUGACCCUUGUACCCAACUUCCUCCCUGAGGUCACCAUCGGAGCUCACGAGUAUGACGCAGGCUACUACGCUUUCAAAUCGCUCCCGGGAAAGAAGUAUGCUGCAGGUUAUAACGCAGAUAUUGGAGAUAAGAACAUCUGGCUGAAGUGAAGGCGUGGACCUAACUACUCUGGAGCUGAUUGGUGUAGAUGAAUGUUUCCUUCCUCAUUCCCUCCCUCACGCACCUGCUCACUCCUCCCUAUGGGCAGGUUUAAGCGACUUAUAAUGUCCUUUUUAGUAUUUUCUUUAGCAGAUGCUUCAGUGACUGAGUCAGUGCAUAUUGAGGUGUUACAACCCCAUAGGGGCUCUGGAAGCAGGUAGCCAAUUUGGCAGGACUUCACGUUGUACCGAAGUGGUUCACAAACCAAUUGGCUUCCAGCUGUUCUAUAGCUGCAUAUCAGACACAAUGCAUUUAUAAAUAACGUGUAUAAAAUCUGCCUCGGCAGUUAUGAUACAUGCCUUAAGAACAACAUAUACUUGUGCUUGCAUUUCAUGAAUGGGAAGGAUCGUGUUUCAUUCAGAUGACGGUUCAGGUGCUGUUCAUUUCACUCUCGUGGUAUUGUUAGGUUCUUAAACAGAGUAAAAACUCACGGACGAUUAGUAAAGCUCAAACCAAGUUUAUUCACACACUGGGUCAUACAGCUGCAUACGACAAAGAUGUGGUUCCACCAGCACAAAUAUAUAUAUACCCCAAUUUUGGUGAAGUAUCCUCCUUUCUUCUAAACAUGACAUCUUUAUUGCUAGGCAGAACUUUAGUGAUAUCUGUUCUCCCUCACUUUAUCUGACCUGACCUCAGGCCCAAAUUCCUCACUUCUCCCAAUAGGAUCCCUGAUGUCUACCGAUAACAUAUUCUGACAGAAUAUAAAUGUUCUACAGUCCCCUCCCUCAGUGACAUGAGUAAGGAUACUUUAUAUUUUCACGUUUAGAACUCAGAACCCAUCAGUGUGGAUCAGAUAAGGGGCUUAUCCAGAGGGCUUGACAUGGUCAAAUUGACUCAGCCAAAAACAUAUCUAAGUUGAGAUUUAUUAUUGAACCAGAACAUCAAUUGUUAUUUCUGGUUUAUCAAAGUUAGCUGGCUAAAUAAUUGAUCCUGACAUAUUGUAUACCCCUCUGUUGUUCAGGUAAAAAAAUCAGAAGAACAAUUCCUCUCUCUUUUCACAGAAUGACUUUAAGAGCCUGAUUGCUUUUAAUUUACCACCAGCUGACUCUUCAGGAUUUACCCCCCCCCCCCCCCCCCCCAUCUCUCUUUCUUUCACACACACACACACACACACACCCAGCAGCAUUUACACACCUACGCCACUGUAGCUCAGUGCAGACAGACGACAGGGAGCUGUUACUCUCUGACAGAGAGGAGCAGAGCCGUAGGCUAGGGCAAUUCGACGCUGUCCUCUACCAAAGUGUUAAUUGAACACACGACAUUAAGAACGAUUAAAGGAGCCCUUGUCGACCUCA